rnacentral:rRNA from 1 species
UACAGGGGGGGCAAGCGUUGUUCGGAAUUACUGGGCGUAAAGGGCCAGUAGGCGGCCAACUAAGUCACACGUGAAAUCCCCAGGCUUAACCUGGGAACUGCGUGUGAUACUGGAUGGCUUGAAUUCGGGAGAGGGAUGCAGAAUUCCAGGUGUAGCGGUGAAAUGCGUAGAUAUCUGGAGGAACACCGGUGGCGAAGGCGGCAUCCUGGACCGGCAUUGACGCUGAGGCGCGAAAGCGUGGGGAGCAAACAGG